rnacentral:rRNA from 1 species
UACGAAGGGGGCUAGCGUUGCUCGGAAUUACUGGGCGUAAAGGGCGCGUAGGCGGCCUGUUUAGUCAGAAGUGAAAGCCCCGGGCUCAACCUGGGAAUAGCUUUUGAUACUGGCAGGCCUGAGUUCCGGAGAGGAUGGUGGAAUUCCCAGUGUAGAGGUGAAAUUCGUAGAUAUUGGGAAGAACACCGGUGGCGAAGGCGGCCAUCUGGACGGACACUGACGCUGAGGCGCGAAAGCGUGGGGAGCAAACAGG